CGGAGAGGGAGCAUGAGAGACGGCUCCCUAUCCAAGGAAGGCGGCAGGCGCGUAAAUUACCCAAUCCUGUCACAGGGAGGUAGUGACAAUAAAUAACAAUGCCGGGCCAUCAUUGGUCUGGCAAUUGGAAUGAGAACAAUUUAAAUCCCUUAUCGAGGAUCAAUUGGAGGGCAAGUCUGGUGCCAGCAGCCGCGGUAAUUCCAGCUCCAAUAGCGUAUAUUAAAGUUGUUGCAGUUAAAAAGCUCGUAGUUGGAUUUGUGGCGUACGAUGUGUUCCGGGCACUUGUUGUCUGAGUAACCUGUUGUUGCCAUCCUUGGGUGGAACCUGUGUGGCAUUAGGUUGUCGUGCAGGGGAUGCCCAUCAUUUACUGUGAAAAAAUUAGAGUGUUCAAAGCAGGCUUAUGCCGUUGAAUAUAUUAGCAUGGAAUAAUGAGAUAGGACUUUUUUGCUAUUUUGUUGGUUUGCGCAAAGAGGUAAUGAUUAAUAGGGACAGUUGGGGGUAUUCGUAUUCCAUUGUCAGAGGUGAAAUUCUUGGAUUUUUGGAAGACGAACUACUGCGAAAGCAUUUACCAAGGAUGUUUUCAUUAAUCAAGAACGAAAGUUAGGGGAUCGAAGAUGAUUAGAUACCAUCGUAGUCUUAACCAUAAACUAUGCCGACAAGGGAUUGGUGGAGUCUCAUUAUGUCUCCAUCAGCACCUUAUGAGAAAUCACAGGUCUUUGGGUUCCGGGGGGAGUAUGGUCGCAAGACUGAAACUUAAAGAAAUUGACGGAAGGGCA
rnacentral:rRNA from 1 species